GACAGAGGGUGCAAACGUUGUUCGGAAUUACUGGGCGUAAAGCGCGUGUAGGCGGCAAGCCAAGUCGGGUGUGAAAGCCCUGGGCUCAACCCAGGAAGUGCAUUCGAUACUGGCAAGCUAGAGUCCCGGAGAGGAUGGUGGAACUCUCGGUGUAGAGGUGAAAUUCGUAGAUAUUCGGAAGAACACCAGUGGCGAAGGCGGCUCACUGGCCCGGUACUGACGCUGAGGUGCGAAAGCGUGGGGAGCAAACAGG
rnacentral:rRNA from 1 species